rnacentral:rRNA from 1 species
UACGAAGGGGGCUAGCGUUGUUCGGAAUUACUGGGCGUAAAGGGCGUGUAGGCGGACUUGUAAGUCGGGCGUGAAAUCCCUGGGCUCAACCCAGGAACUGCGCUCGAAACUGCGAGUCUUGAGUACCGGAGAGGAAGGUGGAAUUCCUGGUGUAGAGGUGAAAUUCGUAGAUAUCAGGAGGAACACCAGUGGCGAAGGCGGCUUUCUGGACGGUAACUGACG